CAGGAGGCUGAGGCUGGAGGAUUGUGAGUUCAAAGCCAGUCUCAGCAACUUACUGAGGCCCUAAGCAAUCCAAUGAGACCAGAAAAGGACUGGGGAUGUGGCUCAGUAGUUAAGUGCCCCUGGGUUCAAUCCCCAGUACCAAAAACAAAACAAAUCAGUAGUCAAAUUUUCUCACAAAGAGAAAUUCAUGUUCAAAUAGCUUUACUGGCAAGUCUGUCAAAUAUUGCAUACACACGCACACAUACCACACACAAAAUAAAAAUUGUUCUAAUCUUAUACAGAUUCAGCACAAAAAACUAGGAAGUAUUUCUCAACUGUCUUUAUUAGGCUAAUAGUAUAAACAAAAUAUUAGCAAACUGAACCUAGUCAUAUGUAAAAAUAAAAUAAAAAGAUAACAUUUUAUGGUCAAUGUUUUUAUCUCAAGAAUUACAAAGGAGUAGUUAAUGUAAUCUACUAAAAUAAUAAAGAAGAAAAAAUGAUCUUAAACAGAUGUGCAAAAAACACAAAAUUUAGCAUCCAUCCAUAAAAAAGAAAAAAAACUGUAUUAGAACAUUAGGAAUAGAAUUUUCUUAAUAUAAUAAAUGGUAUCUCCACAAAAAUCUACAGCAUGAAUUAUAACCAAGAUGAAAACCUAAAACCUUUCCUUUGAGAACAGGAAUAAAAUAAGGAUGCCUGCUAUUAAACAUGUACUAGAUUCCCUAACCAGCAUGGUUAAAAGAGAAAAAAAAAAAAGAAAGAUUGGAAAAGAAGAAACUAAACUGUCAUUAUUUGUAGAAAAUAAUUGCCAGAGGAAAUUUUAAUGUAAUGUACAGAUAAUUUAUUAUUAAAUAUUUAUUGGUUGCUAAGAAAAAUCAAUACUCAAAAUAAAUUUUAUUUAAUAUACCAUGAACAAACAGAAACGAAAAAAUUAAACAAAGCUACUAUGUAAAAUGACAUAAAAAAUAUGAAACACCCAGAUAUAAAUCUAGAAAUAAGUUGAAGACUUUUAUGGA
rnacentral:lncRNA from 1 species